rnacentral:lncRNA from 1 species
CCCUUGGCUAACAUUCGAGCCGCGUCUGCGUCUAUAUCUGCAAUGAAAGAAGAUCGGCACAGCUUAGAAAUAGAGCCACGAAAAAAGGAGAAAGUGAAAGUCGAAGCCCGGUGCGGAAAGCUUCUUGGUAUAAACAGAAGCAGCCAGAGGGAGUGGCGCUAGCCCGGCCAGUUGGCUCGGGAAGCUCCAGCUCGUACUCCAGAGGAAUCCCGUACUGAAUCCUAAUCAGUGAGAGUUCCUCCAGAGUCAGAGAGCUGGGGAUGGUGUCUGGUACAAAGAUCGGACGAGGUUCAUUUACAGAACUAAGAUUUUGGGGGGCUGGAACGGACGAACUCCUAGAACUGC